CAGAGGGCAGCUACCCAGCAAUGGGAUGCGAAUCUCGAAAGCCUGUCUCAGUUCGGAUUGGAGGCUGAAACCCGCCUCCAUGAAGUUGGAUUCGCUAGUAAUCGCGCAUCAGCCAUGGCGCGGUGAAUACGUUCCCGGGCCUUGUACACACCGCCCGUCAAGCCAUGGGAGCCGGGGGUGCCUGAAGUUCGUGACCGCAAGGAGCGACCUAGGGCAAAACUGGUGACUGGGGCUAAGUCGUAACAAGGUAAC
rnacentral:rRNA from 1 species